GCUUCGUUAGCUCAGUCGGUAGAGCGUGUGGCUUUUAACAUAAAACUUCUUCCUUAUAUGAUAUCUCCACCUGUAAUUUGGGAGUAAAAAGUGGGUAAGUUAAAGGGCUACCUCAAGUUCACGAGUUCGAGCCUCGUACGAAGCU